rnacentral:lncRNA from 10 species
GUUUGAUUGGUAUUCUUUGAGAAACACUUUUAUUAUCUGAGAUUAUGACCUUUCCUCAUUUUUAAACUUAAAAUGCCUUUUGUUCACAAAAUGAGGGUGAUGAUAGAUGGUAUUUCUUGUUUUUGAUGGGCCAACUUGGCAACAUUGACACUUGGCAGUUUUCUGACAAUUCUCUGCAUUUUAUAAAAAAUUUACUGGUUGUUGAAUUCCCAAAGUUGGGAAACUAGGGUGUUCAGGUCUUCAGGAACAGGGGUGGCUAGGAAAGCUUGGAAGGGAAAAGGAAGAUCUUGCAGACACUAUAAAUAAGGCAGACAAGGACACUGAAUGCCAGAGGAAGGGAGGAGCAGACAGGUACUAGACAGGAAAUGGGUUAAGUCAGAGGAAGUGAGAUUAAGCAGCAAGGAAUGGGCCUUGCAAAAUCGAUAGAAAGGAAUGUGAAAAAGAAGUGACCUCAGAGGCAGGGUUGCAGCACAGGUUCCUGCUGAGAGGACAGCAGAGCUCUUCCCUGGUGCAGUGGUAGUCUUGGAACUGGAAUAAAUGCCAGAGUUAUUUCAUACCACAACACCCAAAACCCAUAUCAACUGCCAUCAUCAAACAGAGAAAAAGACCCUAAGAAACUUGGUGAGUGAUAACACAACAGAACAGAAAACAAAUUUCCUGAACACAGAAAAUGAAGUCUCCCUGAAGGAAGGCAAAAGACAAAAAAAAAGAGACUAAAAUUGAAUAUUAGGUGGAGAAUCUGUCAUCUUUAAAUGCCAUCAUGGACCUACUAACAAGCCGGAAUCACCUUUGAAUAAUUUAAGUUAUGCAUUUAUUUAAUGUGCUUUUUCCCCAGUCAUUCACUACAUGAUAAGAAAUUGACAUCCUACUAUGUGGUAGACUCUAUGCUUCCUAGUUUUCAAAAC